rnacentral:rRNA from 1 species
AGAGUUUGAUCAUGGCUCAGGACGAACGCUGGCGGCGUGCUUAACACAUGCAAGUCGAACGAUGAUGCCCAGCUUGCUGGGCGGAUUAGUGGCGAACGGGUGAGUAACACGUGAGUAACCUGCCCUUGACUUCGGGAUAACUCCGGGAAACCGGGGCUAAUACCGGAUAUGAGCCGUCCUCGCAUGGGGGUGGUUGGAAAGUUUUUCGGUCAGGGAUGGGCUCGCGGCCUAUCAGCUUGUUGGUGGGGUGAUGGCCUACCAAGGCGACGACGGGUAGCCGGCCUGAGAGGGCGACCGGCCACACUGGGACUGAGACACGGCCCAGACUCCUACGGGAGGCAGCAGUGGGGAAUAUUGCACAAUGGGCGAAAGCCUGAUGCAGCGACGCCGCGUGAGGGAUGAAGGCCUUCGGGUUGUAAACCUCUUUCAGCAGGGAAGAAGCGCAAGUGACGGUACCUGCAGAAGAAGCGCCGGCUAACUACGUGCCAGCCGCCGCGGUAAUUC